rnacentral:rRNA from 1 species
UACGUAGGUGGCAAGCGUUAUCCGGAUUUAUUGGGCGUAAAGAGAACGCAGGCGGUCUUUUAAGUCUGAUGUGAAAGCCUUCGGCUUAACCGGAGUAGUGCAUUGGAAACUGGGAGACUUGAGUGCAGAAGAGGAGAGUGGAACUCCAUGUGUAGCGGUGAAAUGCGUAGAUAUAUGGAGGAACACCAGUGGCGAAAGCGGCUCUCUGGUCUGUAACUGACGCUGAGGUUCGAAAGCGUGGGUAGCAAACAGG